GACGAACGCUGGCGGCGUGCUUAACACAUGCAAGUCGAACGGAGUGGCGAACGGGUGAGUAACACGUGGGUGACCUGCCCUGCACUUCGGGAGAAGCCUGGGAAACUGGGUCUAACACCGGAUAGUGUGGGAUGGGCCUGGGGCCUAUCAGCGUGUUGGUGGGGUAUUGGCCUACCAAGGCGGCGACGGGUAGCCGGCCUGAGGGGGUGGACGGCCACAUGGGGACUGGGGCACGGCCCAGACUCCUACGGGAGGCAGCAGUGGUGAAUAUUGCACAAUGGGCGGAAGGCUGAUGCAGCGACGCCGCGUGGGGGAUGACGGCCUUCGGGUUGUAAACUCCUUUCACCAUCGACGCGGUAGAUGGAGAAGAAGCACCGGCUAACUACGUGCCAGCAGCCGCGGUAAUUC
rnacentral:rRNA from 1 species